rnacentral:rRNA from 1 species
AUUGUAGCAUACAAGGCAUACGGCUCAGUAACGCGUAGUCAACCUAACCUAUGGACGGGAAUAACCUCGGGAAACUGAGAAUAAUGCCCGAUAGAACAUUAUGCCUGGAAUGGUUUAUGUUCCAAAUGAUUUAUCGCCGUAGGAUGGGACUGCGGCCUAUCAGUUUGUUGGUGAGGUAAUGGCCCACCAAGACUAUUACAGGUACGGGCUCUGAGAGGAGUAGCCCGGAGAUGGGUACUGAGACACGGACCCAGGCCCUAUGGGGCGCAGCAGGCGAGAAAACUUUGCAAUGUGCGAAAGCACGACAAGGUUAAUCCGAGUGGUUUCUGCUAAAGAAACCUUUUGUCGGUCCUAGAAACACUGAUGAAUAAGGGGUGGGCAAGUUCUGGUGUCAGCCGCCGCGGUAAAACCAGCACCUCAAGUGGUCAGGAUGAUUAUUGGGCCUAAAGCAUCCGUAGCCGGCUCUGUAAGUUUUCGGUUAAAUCUGUACGCUCAACGUACAGGCUGCCGGGAAUACUGCAGAGCUAGGGAGUGGGAGAGGUAGACGGUACUCGGUAGGAAGGGGUAAAAUCCUUUGAUCUAUUGAUGACCACCUGUGGCGAAGGCGGUCUACCAGGACACGUCCGACGGUGAGGGAUGAAAGCUGGGGGAGCAAACCGGAUUAGAUACCCGGGUAGUCCCAGCUGUAAACUAUGCAAACUCAGUGAUGCAUUGGCUUGUGGCCAAUGCAGUGCUGCAGGGAAGCCGUUAAGUUUGCCGCCUGGGAAGUACGUACGCAAGUAUGAAACUUAAAGGAAUUGGCGGGGGAGCACCACAAGGGGUGAAGCCUGCGGUUCAAUUGGAGUCAACGCCGGG